rnacentral:rRNA from 1 species
CCCUUUUCCGGUUGAUCCUGCCGGACCCUACUGCUAUCGGGGUGGGGCUAAGACAUGCGAGUCGUGCGUCUCUAGGCAAUGGUAGAGACGCGGCGUACGGCUCAGUAACACGUGGCUAACCUACCCUUAGGACGGAAACAACCCCGGGAAACUGGGGCUAAUAUCCGAUAGGUGAGGAGGCCUGGAAUGGUUCUUAAUCUAAAAGGCGUUGAGACCAUGCUUUUCAACGUCGCCUAAGGAUGGGGCCGCGCCCGAUCAGGUUGUUGGUGGGGUAACGGCUCACCAAGCCUAUAACCGGUACGGGCCGUGAGAGCGGGAGCCCGGAGAUGGGCACUGAGACAAGGGCCCAGGCCCUACGGGGCGCAGCAGUCGCGAAAACUCCGCAAUGCGCGAAAGCGUGACGGGGCUACCCCGAGUGCCGUCUGCUGAGGAUGGCUUUUCCCCGGUGUAAUGAGCCGGGGGAAUAAGGAGAGGGCAAGUCUGGUGUCAGCCGCCGCGGUAAUACCAGCUCUCCGAGUGGUAGGGAUGAUUAUUGGGCUUAAAGCGUCCGUAGCCGGCUUAGCAAGUCUCCUGUCAAAUUCAGCGACUUAAUCGUUGAGCCGCGGGAGAUACUACUAGGCUAGGAGGCGGGAGAGGCCGACGGUAUUCUCGGGGUAGGGGUGAAAUCCUAUAAUCCCGGGAGGACCACCAGUGGCGAAGGCUGUCGGCUAGAACGCGCUCGACGGUGAGGGACGAAAGCUGGGGGAGCGAACCGGAUUAGAUACCCGGGUAGUCCCAGCUGUAAACGAUGCGGGCUAGGUGUUGGGGUGGCUACGAGCCACUUCAGUGCCGCAGGGAAGCCAUUAAGCCCGCCGCCUGGGGAGUACGGCCGCAAGGCUGAAACUUAAAGGAAUUGGCGGGGGAGCACCACAAGGCGUGAAGCUUGCGGUUCAAUUGGAUUCAACGCCGGGAAGGGCG